GUGCCAGCAGCCGCGGUAAUACGUAGGGGGCGAGCGUUGUCCGGAUUUAUUGGGCGUAAAGAGCUCGUAGGCGGUUCAACAAGUCGGUCGUGAAAGUUCAGGGCUCGACCCUGAAAUGUCGAUCGAUACUGUUGUGACUAGGAUACGGUAGAGGUGAGUGGAACUCCGAGUGUAGCGGUGAAAUGCGUAGGUAUUCGGAGGAACACCAAUUGCGAAGGCAGCUCACUGGGCCGCUAUCGACGCUGAGGAGCGAAAGCUAGGGGAGCAAACAGGAUUAGAUA
rnacentral:rRNA from 1 species